CCAAGAUGGCCGACAGAUAAACGAGAAACAGAAAGUCUUUGUAAAAUAUUUUUAGUGCAAUUUUUAUUUAUUCAAUCAUGGCACAUUGUUUCUAGAUUAUAUGAUAAUGGUAUUGUGGCAGGAAGAUGAAAAUUUUGGUCUAAAUGUCGCCAGUUCUUGCUGUAGUUUGUAUUCAUCUGUUGGUAAGAAGGGCAAGCCACAGAAGGGCAGGGAAUGGACGUUACUAGCAGCUGUGGUGAUGGUGAAACAACAAGGUGAUCAUUACUCUUUAGAGAUUGUUGCCAUGGGAACAGGCUCAAAGUGUAUCGGGCAAAGCAAAAUNAGUGAGAGAGGUGAUGUUUUGAAUGACAGCCAUGCUGAGAUAAUUGCAAGAAGAGGAUUUUUAAGAUAUUUAAACAAAGAGUUGGCAGACACAUACCAAGGAAAGGAUGNAACCAUCUUUGAUUUCCAGGAAGACACCAACCUUUGUCUAUUAAAGGAUGAGAUAUCAUUCCACCUGUUUACAUCACACACCCCUUGCGGUGAUGCUUCAAUCUUUCCAAAGCCAGACUGUGGCAUUAAACAAAACACCAACUCAAAUAAUACAAAUGAAGUUGAACCUAACAAGCUUACACAAAAGAAAAGAAGGAAUCACACAACAGAUGAGGAUGCAAGAGAACCCAAGAAGCCUUGUUUAUUGAGUAAGAAAAGAGAAAAAGAUGAUAGCAAAGAAGCUUGCCAAGUUGCCCAAUCCAUAGACAAUAGUACGGUAGACCUACUGGGUACAAAUGAAUGCUGCUUGGAUAACAACACAGAUGAUGAGACUUGUCUCUCACACCUUUCAAAUGAUGAAAACGUUUGUCAACACAUUCUUAACAAAUUUGAUAGACGAGAAAUGAUAAAAGACAUUAGGAAGACAUCAAGUANGACUUCUUCUUCCAGUGGAUCAGUUAUUAAUGAACAGAAAAGUUUAGAGCAUGGCAGUAAAUUAGAUAAACAACAGCAAAAGGAUAUUUUCAGAACAGGUGCCAAGUGUGUACCCGGAGAACCCCAAGAUCCUUUGCAACCUGGUAUUGAUUAUCAUCACAUUGGGGUCUUGCGAACCAAGCCAGGAAGGGGUGACCCCACUUUAUCCAUGUCCUGUAGUGACAAGAUACUGAAAUGGAAUGUCCUUGGUUGCCAAGGAGGGUUGCUAAUUCAUUUCCUGGUAGCACCAAUAUAUCUGUCGUCAAUUAUACUUGGGAGGUGUCCCUGUGAUGUCAAUGCAUUACAAAGAGGCUUAUAUGGCAGGGCAAAAGAUAAAAUGAAUGNCUUUAAACUUUGCUUUGGGUUUAAAGUUAAUGCUCCAAAGUUCUUCAUCACUGAUGUGAUAUUCAAAGAUGGAAAGGAAGGUGUUGAAAAUGAAAUGGGAAAAGAUGUCAAAAUAUCACCUUCAUCGGCAGCCAAUCUCAGCACAAACCAACCAACAGAACAGAUGAUCCAACGAGUGGUAUUAUAUAACANUCUACACACCAUGCAGUCUACACUAUCACCUUAUGAAGACUAGCAGUUUGCAGUCAAAACAAUGCAGUCCUUCCACAAUUAGAUGAUACUCAAUCAUUAGNCAAAUGAAAAGUUAUCCAUAUGCAAGGCCAGUUUAUUCAAAGAGUUUAACAAUUUAGUU
rnacentral:misc_RNA from 1 species